rnacentral:lncRNA from 1 species
AAACUGCGGGCUGGAGUUCUUGACAGCUGGAGGAGGAAUCUUCCGUCAUCUGUCAAGCCUGAAAGGGAAAACGAAAUGAGGCCUCUCCGGCUCUUCUUCUUGGAGCCUGACGUGCUGAUGAAGGACAGACGGUGGGCAUUGUCAACCAGCACAUCCCUUGGAGAUUUCUGGUCCCAAAAAGCAUCACAGGGCACUUUGUACAGAACGGGAUUGUCACUCUGAUGAGCGCAGAAGUCUCUUAACUUCCAAAUGAGCUGUCUUCCGGGCCCCUGGGAAACCAUAAUGUAAGUGGUGCCAGGCUUCCAGGAAUGGCCAGAAAGCUGCUUCACUUGAGGGUGGCCGAGGAUUUGCUCAUGUGAAAUGAAAACAAUAGACAUCGAUACUAGUUGCAAUACCAGUAAUUUUUUAGCAGAAAAAUA